rnacentral:rRNA from 1 species
AGCGUAGGUACCGAGCGUUAUCCGGAUUUACUGGGCGUAAAGCGCGUUCAGGCGGUUUGGCAAGUCGGGCAUGAAAUCUCUCGGCUCAACCGGGAGAGGUUGUCCGAUACUGCUGGACUUGAGGGCAGUAGAGGGUGGUGGAAUUCCGGGUGUAGUGGUGAAAUGCGUAGAUAUCCGGAGGAACACCAGUGGCGAAAGCGGCCACCUGGACUGCACCUGACGCUGACACGCGAAAGCUAGGGGAGCGAACGGG